CAUAGCACCAUAGCGACAUGCUAACAUGCUAACAAUUAAAACAACUUAGCAACAGCAUGGUAACACCCUGGUCACCACCUUGGUCAUGGCCAUGAGCAUACACUACUCAGUUUAAACUAAUGUAAAGAUCUAAUUUUCUAAUAAUAUGCAUUAAAAGAGAAAAAGUGAAAUUAAACGUAAAAUUAUAUUUGCAUUACGCAACAUGUCACUCUUUAUAGAAUAGCAGAAAAACGUACAGUACUAUGAGCAAUGCUAAAUUUGACUGACUAUACUCUCAACAUCUCCUGUACUCAAAUAAUGUAUCAGACAUCUCAAUGAAAUUUAGAAGACACACUUCAAACAUAACUUAUCCUGCCAGAAACCUGACUUGAUAUAUGAUGAUAGUGAAUCAUUUGUCAUAAACCACUAGAUGUUAGGUGAUGAAUGGAGUUGUUAGAGAGAUUCUGUGCUGAAGAGCAGACAAGAAGAAGAGAAACAGAGCAGUCGACGGCUCUGAACUUUGAUCCGAAAAUCACUUUAGUGAACCGUUGCAGAAAUGGACUUUGGGAAGUGCUGCUAUAAUCUCUCCCGAUGCAGAAUACAAGUGUUGUGAAAAUUAAGUGAAAAACCUCCUUGAUGGUGUGUGUGCGGGGCGGCAGUCAGACAGUUCGGCUGAGCCAAAGUUUAAGAGGAUGGUAAUUAUGCACCUCUAACAGGACUGUGGUUCCCAUCUCCAGACCAAGUGACCAAGACAGUUCAGAGAGUAAGCGGCUGUGACUUGAAGCAAGUCAAGGAUCAGAGAUGUGCCCUGAGGACAGGAUCAAUUGUCAAGAAGAGCUGACUGGAGCUAACACACACCGACAGGUCUCAUCAAAGAAACAUAACAUGACCGUCAGAGCGGCUCUAAAUCAAGGCCGAACCCAAAAAGUGCCAAGAUCGGCCCGUGUCUGUCGAGUCGACUCCGUCCUGAACCUGCCCUCGACAUACUCAGUGAGGUGAAAACCUCUCAAAGUUUUUCUUUUUCUCAUUCGCCGUUUCUAAAGCGCAGGUGGGACGGUACAGGAAGCGACCAACAUUUGCUUUUAAUUGAACCACUGGAGCUUUUAAGUGACGCUUAAUGGAAAGAACCUGAAGGUUGCCGAAUCCAACAUGUGUGGCACAAAUGAGCGAAGUGUAAAAUGUAAUGACGGGAUAUCCGGGUUUGUUCGUUUUGGGGUCGUGAUGGAGGGGGUCUGCUUAGAUGUGGUCCUUCAUUGAGCGAAUGACAUAUGCUACUAACUAAAGGCAGCCAUUUUGUGAUCCCAUAUGGUGCCACAUAUGGGUCCCUUGUAGGCAUUGUACUCGUAUCAACCCAGUAAAUCUAUCAAAGUUUUGAUCUGGUGGCUGUAAAUGCCAUUUAGCAACUGUAUGGCUCAGUGUUUGAAAUGAAUGCUAUAAUACAUUCACAAAAGCUUUAAAACUGACUGAAGACUAACCUUUUUUGUAUACACUUCAUGUGUUGUUCCCUCGCUUGUAAGUCGAUUUAAAUUAAAGCAUUUGCUAAAUAAAUAAAUGUAAAUAAAGUCAUAC